CCUACGGGUGACAGCAGUGGGGAAUAUUGGGCAAUGGGCGCAAGCCUGACCCAGCAACGCCGCGUGAAGGAAGAAGGCUUUCGGGUUGUAAACUUCUUUUCUGAGGGACGAAGAAAGUGACGGUACCUCAGGAAUAAGCCACGGCUAACUACGUGCAAGCAGCCGCGGUAAUACGUAGGUGGCAAGCGUUAUCCGGAUUUAUUGGGUGUAAAGGGCGUGUAGGCGGGAAAGCAAGUCAGAUGUGAAAACUCAGGGCACAACCCUGAGCCUGCAUUUGAAACUGUUUUUCUUGAGUGCUGGAGAGGCAAUCGGAAGUCGGUGUGUAGCGGUGAAAUGCGUAGAUAUACGGAGGAACACCAGUGGCGAAGGCAGAUUGCUGGACAGAAACUGACGCUGAGGCGCGAAAGCGUGGGGAGCAAACAGGAUUAGAUACCCCAGUAGUC
rnacentral:rRNA from 1 species